rnacentral:rRNA from 1 species
UACGUAGGGGGCAAGCGUUGUCCGGAUUUAUUGGGCGUAAAGAGCGUGUAGGCGGCUAGGUAGGUCCGCUGUGAAAACUUGAGGCUCAGCCUCAAGAGGUCGGUGGAAACCAUCUGGCUAGAGUCCGGAAGAGGAGAGUGGAAUUCCCGGUGUAGCGGUGAAAUGCGCAGAUAUCGGGAAGAACACCCGUGGCGAAGGCGGCUCUCUGGGACGGUACUGACGCUGAGACGCGAAAGCGUGGGGAGCGAACAGG